rnacentral:rRNA from 1 species
UACAGAGGGUGCGAGCGUUAAUCGGAAUUACUGGGCGUAAAGAGCGCGUAGGCGGUAAUGUAAGUCUGAUGUGAAAGACCUUGGCUUAACCAGGGAACUGCAUUGGAUACUGCAUAACUAGAGUAUGGUAGAGGAAAGUGGAAUUUCCGGUGUAGCAGUGAAAUGCGUAGAGACCGGAAGGAACACCAGUGGCGAAGGCGACUUUCUGGACCAAUACUGACGCUGAGGCGCGAAAGCGUGGGGAGCAAACAGG